ACAACAUUACAACCAAGAUAAAAGAUUCAAGUGAUUAAACUAACACACUUCUAUAUUAAAACUAAACAAGAACAAAUGAAUGAAAACAACUGAAGAAAUAAUCAAGAAAUGAGGAGAAUAUCAAACAAAAUAUGGACAGAAAUGAAACUUAAACCAACUAACCGGAUCGGAACAAUGACAAAAUCUAACGGAAACAAAUCUGUCCGGAAACUUAGAAACCAAAAUAACUUGAAUCUGCCGGGAAAUUUUUUGUAUGUUUUUCGGUUGAUUUCAGGUGAUGAGUUGGACGACGAAGACAAAACGAACACCACUGAAAAUGACCGAAUGGUCAGUGGUUGGAUCGUCACCGUGAGGUCGACGAAGCUGGGCGUGACUAGUUCGUUUGGAGCUGAAGAAGACGUGAUAGUAGAGUUUUUGUUUCGUCGAGCUGGAGACGGACGAUGCGGAUAGCUUGGGUUCAACGACUAGACGGAGUUUUCCUUUGGUUCGUGGUUGUUGCUCAUCGCUAUUGGUCGUUUAUGGUUAGAGGGGGACGACGCAGCUAGGUAGUUUAACGUGAAGGUUGGUCGAAUGGUGAUUGGUUCACGUGGAGAUCGAUGGAAAUGGAGGUCGUUUGGAUUGGUGGCUGUUCGUGGUUGGUGUUGGGUUGACAACGGGUGGGGUAUGGAUGGUGUUGGACGUCGAUGGAGAAGGCAGGCAUGGAUAGUUGACGGGCCUGGAUUGGUAGUGACCGACGGUGAAGAGGGUGGUCGACGUGGGGAGGGGUGAGUGGGUUGUUGAAGAAGAUGAGAGGGGGGCAGAGGUCGUUCGGGUGUGGC
rnacentral:lncRNA from 1 species